CCCCCCUCCACCUCUCUCCCUGCUCCCUCCUUACCCUUUCCCACCCCCUGUGUCCCAAACUAUGGCACAAUAGGCCUCAGCUCCUCUGUCUCUUCUGUGUCCAGCAGGAGCCCGCGGUGAUUCAUUGCGCCAAUUAGGGACUCUGCAGCCCGUAGCUCGGGCUGUGUGAAGGGUCUCCUUUGGGACCCACGAAACCCAUCAGCCGCUGCCGCUGAUCUUUAAGGAAAGGUCAAGCAGGACGCGCUAGUGCCAGCCUCCAGCAUGGACUGAAGAUCAGGGACAUCCCAUAAUCCUCCAGGCCUUCGGCUCCCAUACCUCUUGGCUUCUCAGCCUCUCCAGCAGAACCUCCAGCACAGUGGCUGGCUGAACUUGACCCUUGGCAGGUUGAGGAGUUUCCAUCUGAGGCAAAAGCUGCUGGUGUUUUCCUGCAUAUCCAGUCCACGUCUUCUGUUGACAGCGAGGCUUGUGGAAUGGACAGCCGUGAAUGGAAGGGACUCUAAGCCCAGGGAGGUGUGCACACUUCCUGCACACUAGACAAGGUCAGCAAUACUCAGAAACGGUUCCCGCUGAAGGAGAAACACAUUUAAAAGUGCAGCCCGCCUACACCCCAGCCCAGUGGUUCUCAGCCUUUCUUAUGCUGCGACCCUCUAAUAUAAGUUCCUCAUGUUGUGGUGACCCCCAACCAUGCAAUUGUUUUGUUUUGCUUUACAACUGUUAAUUCUGCAAUUACUUAUGAACUGUAUUGAAAAUAUCUGAUUUACAGGAUAUACGAGAUAAGAAACCCCCAAGGGAUCUCAAUGCA
rnacentral:sRNA from 1 species